rnacentral:rRNA from 1 species
CCGAGAAGUGUAACUUGUACGCGAGUCAAAGGGUGGAAAACCCCAUGGCGAAAUGAAAGUAAAGGCCGGUUAACCGGCUGACAUGGGAUCCGCCUUUCGAGGCGGCGCACCAUGGCCCUGUCUUGUCUGCUUGCAGAUGGGCAGCGGUAGAGCGUACAGGUUGCGACCCGAAAGAUGGUGAACUAUGCCUGAGCAGGACGAAGUCAGAGGAAACUCUGAUGGAAGUCCGUAUCGGUUCUGACGUGCAAAUCGAUCGAUAGACUUGGGUA